rnacentral:rRNA from 1 species
GCAAGCUUGAGUCUCGUAGAGGGGGGUAGAAUUCCAGGUGUAGCGGUGAAAUGCGUAGAGAUCUGGAGGAAUACCGGUGGCGAAGGCGGCCCCCUGGACGAAGACUGACGCUCAGGUGCGAAAGCGUGGGGAGCAAACAGGAUUAGAUACCCUGGUAGUCCACGCCGUAAACGAUGUCGACUUGGAGGUUGUGCCCUUGAGGCGUGGCUUCCGGAGCUAACGCGUUAAGUCGACCGCCUGGGGAGUACGGCCGCAAGGUUAAAACUCAAAUGAAUUGACGGGGGCCCGCACAAGCGGUGGAGCAUGUGGUUUAAUUCGAUGCAACGCGAAGAACCUUACCUGGUCUUGACAUCCACAGAACUUUCCAGAGAUGGAUUGGUGCCUUCGGGAACUGUGAGACAGGUGCUGCAUGGCUGUCGUCAGCUCGUGUUGUGAAAUGUUGGGUUAAGUCCCGCAACGAGCGCA